AAGUAUUUUCAUGUUAAUGGCUACCAAAAAAACAGGCUGCAAUUUUCUUUUGAAUUCUGGUCCUCAGCCUUUUAAGAUGUUAAAUUGAUUUACCCUAGUUCAGGCCCUCAUCACCUCUUGCAACCUUUUUUUUUAACCCUCACCUUCCAUCUUAAAAUCAGUACUGUGUAUUGGUUCCAAGGCAGAAGAGUGGUAAGGACUAGGCAAAGGGGGUUAAGUGACUGACCCAAGGUCACACAGCUGGGAAGUGUUUGAGGUCAGAUUUGAACCCAAGUCUACCCAUCUCUAGACCUAGCUCUCAAUCCACUGAGCUACCUAACUGUCCCCAUUGUCUCUGUAAUUUCAAGUCUUAAAGGCCUGCCCAGAGGACUGAGAGGAGAAAUAUGUCCAGGGUCACACAAAUAAUAUGUCUCCAAAGAGGAAUUUGAACCCAAAUCUUUCUGGCUUUGAGCUCCUGAUACCAGAAGGAGGCUGUAAGCCUUGGGAUUUGGACCCCAAACUCCCACCUCCCACCUCCUCUAAGGGAUUUAACAGCAGAGAUUUGGCUCAGGCUGAGGAGGAGGAGGACCAUAAGGUUCCUGCCCAUUACAAGGAACAUGCACUGUUCCCUGAAGAUGCCACGUCCAACCAAGACCCUUCUGGUGGAGGCAUAAUGCUGUUUCAGCAGGAGAGCCCCCUCCCACCAUCUUGCUGUUGGUUUUUGACUCCUGUUGUUUUGAGGCACUUUUCAAAGAUCAUCAGAGGGGUUUCAGCUUUUGCUGCCAGCUUGUCUCUGCCAAUUGGCAGAGACAUAAUGACCAGAAUGGGAACAUCUUUUCCCCCCCUUCCACCUGUUAAGCUUUUGCUCCUCCCUUCUGGCCCCGCUUCUAAACCUAAUCAUGUCCCCUCUGAAGACUGAGACUUACCUGUCUUUGAGAUCUGGGAUAUGGGAGUCACUGGGAAAGCCCCCCACGCGGAGCCAGUCAAAGAUCCCCUUAACUGUCUCCACAGGAAGCAAUACCCCAUUAACCUGAAAGAAAGAAGGGAUCUCUAGCUCCUGACUGACCGAUUUCUUCAUGAUGGGCUUUUAACUUCUUGCCAAUUGCCCUGCAAUUCACCAGUCCUUCUGAUAAAGAAAUCAGUUGAGGAGUAUUGGAAGGUACAAGACCUUGGGGCAGUUAACAAGGCAGGUGUCCCUGUACAUCCCAUAGUUCCUAAUCCUUCCACCAUCCUGGCUUAAAUCCUUGGUAACACUCUCCGGCUCUCUGUUCUGGACCAACAAGAUGUUUUCUUUUGCACUUCUCUCAGUCAGGACUAUCAGUUUAUUUUUGCUUUUGAAUGGGCUUUACCCUCUGAACCUCUGCCCCAGCAUAUACAUGGACUAUAUUUCCCCAAGAAUUCAGGGAUUUGGGGGGGACUGCUCUCAGUAAAGACCUGAAGGAUCAUUUAAAUAAGAGUGUUAUCAUUCUGUAGGUAAAUGAUCUUUUACUCUGGAACCCUGAUCUUAAGACAUCCCACUAAGGCACUGUUAAAACCUUACAUUGCUUGGUGGUACCAGGUUUCAUUAAAGAAAGCCCAGAUCUCUCAGUAGCAAGUAAAGUACCCUGGCCAUGGGUUAACACCUAUCUGUCGGUCCUUAGUCCCCAACAGGAAGCAAGCUAUCCUUUCCAUUCCUCACCCAGUGUAAGGGUUAAAAAUUAAAGGGUUGGACUAAAUAUAUGAGUGUGGUCGCCAAAAUUAUUACUCAAGUCAGGAUGACUUUAUAGCAAUUUAUUUAUAAAAUCAAGGGAAAGAGUAAAAGUAAGGAAAUCAGAGAAAGAGUAGAUAAUUACUCCAGCUCAGCCAGAACCAGGCAGGGCUUCAGAGGCCCCAACAAAGGGGGCCCAGAGGUAAAUUAAACAAGGGUUCUAGCCACGAGG
ensembl:lncRNA